rnacentral:rRNA from 1 species
CAGUCGCCGCGGUAAUACCAGCACCUCGAGUGGUCAGGAGGUUUAUUGGGCCUAAAGCAUCCGUAGCCGGUUGCAUAAGUUUUCGGUUAAAUCUAUGCGCUUAACGUAUAGGCCGCCGAAAAUACUGUGCAGCUAGGGAGUGGGAGAGGUACACGGUACUCGAUAGGAAGGGGUAAAAUCCUUUGAUCUAUUGAUGACCACCUGUGGCGAAGGCGGUGUACCAGAACACGUUCGACGGUGAGGGAUGAAAGCUGGGGGAGCAAACCGGAUUAGAGACCCCCGUAGUCCCUGUCUCUUAUAC